rnacentral:rRNA from 1 species
AUUGAACGCUGGCGGCAUGCCUUACACAUGCAAGUCGAACGGUAACGCGGGGCAACCUGGCGACGAGUGGCGAACGGGUGAGUAAUGCAUCGGAACGUGCCCAGUAGUGGGGGAUAGCCCGGCGAAAGCCGGAUUAAUACCGCAUACGACCUACGGGUGAAAGGGGGGGAUCGCAAGACCUCUCGCUAUUGGAGCGGCCGAUGUCAGAUUAGGUAGUUGGUGGGGUAAAGGCCUACCAAGCCGACGAUCUGUAGCUGGUCUGAGAGGACGACCAGCCACACGGGGACUGGGACACGGCCCAGACUCCUACGGGAGGCAGCAGUGGGGAAUUUUGGACAAUGGGCGCAAGCCUGAUCCAGCCAUGCCGCGUGCGGGAAGAAGGCCUUCGGGUUGUAAACCGCUUUUGUCAGGGAAGAAAUCUUCUGGGUUAAUACCUCGGGAGGAUGACGGUACCUGAAGAAUAAGCACCGGCUAACUACGUGCCAGCCGCCGCGGUAACAC